GUGGGGAAUAUUGGGCAAUGGGCGAAAGCCUGACCCAGCAACGCCGCGUGAAGGAAGAAGGUUUUCGGAUCGUAAACUUCUAUCCUUGGUGAAGAUAAUGACGGUAGCCAAGAAGGAAGCCCCGGCUAACUACGUGCCAGCAGCCGCGGUAAUACGUAGGGGGCAAGCGUUGUCCGGAAUGAUUGGGCGUAAAGGGCGCGUAGGCGGCCCGGUAAGUCUGAAGUGAAAGUCCUGCUUUUAAGGUGGGAAUUGCUUUGGAUACUGUCGGGCUUGAGUGCAGGAGAGGUAAGCGGAAUUCCCGGUGUAGCGGUGAAAUGCGUAGAGAUCGGGAGGAACACCAGUGGCGAAGGCGGCUCACUGGACCGUAGUUGACGCUGAGGUGCGAAAGCGUGGGGAGCAAACAGGAUUAGAAACCCGUGUAGUCC
rnacentral:rRNA from 1 species